AGAGUUUGAUCAUGGCUCAGGAUGAACGCUAGCUACAGGCUUAACACAUACAAGUCGAGGGGAAACGACAUCGAAAGCUUGCUUUUGAUGGGCGUCGACCGGCGCACGGGUGAGUAACGCGUAUCCAACCUGCCCAUCACUUGGGGAUAACCUUGCGAAAGUAAGACUAAUACCCAAUGACGUCUCUAGAAGACAUCUGAAAGAGAUUAAAGAUUUAUCGGUGAUGGAUGGGGAUGCGUCUGAUUAGCUUGUUGGCGGGGUAACGGCCACCAAGGCGACGAUCAGUAGGGGUUCUGAGAGGAAGGUCCCCCACACUUGGAACUGAGACACGGUCCAAACUCCGUACGGGAGGCA
rnacentral:rRNA from 1 species